CACAUAUAAAAACCCUAUCACAAGAGAGAACACACACUAGAUCUCUACAGUCUCUCUUGGUUUUCUCUCUUUCUCGGCUCCUCUCCAUCGUUUCUCUUAUUGAUCUUGGAGAUCGAAGAAAAAUCAAGAAGAUCGAACACGUUAAUUGAUAAGAGUUGUUUGAUUUCUUGCUCUCUGUGGUUGUUCUUGCUAACAGGAGAAAACUACAUCUUCCUAGUGGGAGUGUCGCUAUCUUUAGAUGAUCUCUACAUAGAGAUCUAGAUCUGAGGAGGGGAGUCAACGCUUGAAUUUGGUUCAAGAAAUCAACGAGGGUUUGUAUGGGGCCUUAUUAGCUAGAGGCUGGGAGAUGGGACUUGGGGUGGUGGCUCGAAACGGUAGAGGUACUUGUCUGGGUUGGUUAUCGCGGAGACUGGAUAGGAGAGGCACUGGCGAGGUUGCUAAAGCUUUGGCAGCUUGGGAGGCCAUCCUGCUAGCCGGUCAUUAUCAAAGGAGGCUACGCUAUGCUAAUCAACAAACUCUGGCGGUGUAUCGGGACCUUUGUUUUAUUGGUAGUGUGGCUGACUCAAAAUUUCAAGCUUGAGUCGAGUCAGCUCGAGUUCAAAAUACUUUUUGUUCAUCAAUUUGCUAGCUUUCUAAUUUUUUAUUCUUAUAUACUUUUUAUUUUUCAAAUUUUUAUAUAUUUAACUCCAUAUUCAAUACUUUAUAUUAAAAAUUAACCAUAUAUUAUAAUUAUUAAGUAAUAUCACAUAUUUUAAGUCUAACUAAUGAUAAAAUAUAGUAUUUUUAUUUAUAUAUUUAAUCUCUAUACAAAAAUAAGGUGAAUUAACAAGUUAGUAAGUUCAUUAUUAUUACUAUAUAUGUUUUAUUUAUAUAAUUAAUAAUUUCUUAAAUUAUCAACAGUUUUAAAAAAAUUAGGAAUAUAUUUUUUAUAAAAUAAUUUGGAUUUGUCAAUCUAACAUAAUAAAUAAAUAUUCUAAAAUAAUUUUUAUUUUAAUUAUAAUAAAACUUUAUAAAAUAAAAAAGCUUGAGCCAAAAAAAGUUUUGAGCUCGUUGAGCUCGAACUUGAGCUUGAGCUCAAAAACAAAAUCUCGAGCCGAAUUUUGGCUGAGCUCGACUCGAGCUCUGCUCUUUUACAUUCCUAGUUUAGUUAAAAAAAAUUAUUUAAUAUAUAACAAAUUAGUAAUGAGUAAAUUAAAGUUAAAUAUCAAUUUUCAUUAUUUUUCUUUUUGAGAGGAAAUUGAACACAAGAACUUGUUGGUAUAUGGCCCAAUGCUCACAUAAGCUCAUCUGGCGAAGCCCAUCACACGAUCCACUUGGCUUGACCCACACCGACCCGGUCCACACUCGGUAAACCCGACCCGUGUCUCUACCUAUUUAUUCCCUAAUUCUAAACCCUAGCAGCAUUUUCUCCCCUCUUCUUCUUUGACUUGCGCCGCCCUUCUCUCUUCUCCUAUUCUGCCAUGGAUCUUCUCUGACCAUGUCUUUCAUGGUGGCUUUCCAAAGCCAAUGCAGUGGCUUUCCAAAGCCAAUGCAAUGGCUUUUGGAAAGCCACUGAGGCUUCCUUUUAUAUGUAUUCCUCACAUCUUUAUAAAAGGGGUCAUCCCCUUCGACAGAAAUACACCGUUUCUUCUAUCUACUAUCUAAAAGUUCUGAAUAUUCAAUGCGGUUCUCUGUGACCAGUGUAGAUCUUCGUGAUCUAAGACGAGCCUAUUGCGGAGUAGCCGUGGACUGACUCUGUGUGGUGGCCGGAGUCUCUAUGACAUUGUUACCGGUCUUUUGUCGGCGUCAUUUUAUUGGAUCUGGUUCAAUCUGAGCCUCUCAUCUCUUUUGUUAAAAUAUAAUUUGUUUAUAUUUUUAUUUUACUUAUUUUGGUCUGUAAUCAUAUAAGGAGUUUUAUACUCCGCUUUCUUUGUAAUAGUUUGUUAGGCCAUUCAUUUUAAAGGCAUCACUGAGGGGUUUCCACACUACUGAACUUAUAUAUGUCAAACAGCAUUCAGCAUUCAGCAUACAGUUAACUAUUAGAACCAUAAAGAAACAGGAGACAACAUUUAAAAACAUUGAAAUGGAUGGACCAAUUUACCUUCA